GGCUUUUGGGAAGCUUGGUGGGUUUCGUUGGGUUCUUGUUGGGUUUCGUUGGGUUCUUGUUGGGUUUCGUUGGGCUCUUGUUGGGUUUCGUUGGGUUCUUGGUGGGUUUCGUUGGGUUCUUGGUGGGUUUCGUUGAGAUCUCGUUGAGUUUUGUUGGGUUCUUGCUUGGUUUCGUUGAUGCUUUGUUGAGUUUGGUUGGGUCCUCGUUGGGUUUCAUUGGGUUCUUGUUGGGUUUUGUUGAGUUCUCAUUGGGUUCCAUUGAUCUCUUGUUGGGUUUUGUUGGGUCCUUGUUGAGUUUUGUUGAGUUCUCGUUGGGUUCCGUUGGGUUCUCAUUGGGUUCCUCUGAGAUCUCGUUGAGUUCCAUUGGGUCCUUGUUGGGUGUCGUUGGGUUCUCAUUGGGUUCCGCUGGGUUCUCGUUGGGUUCCGUUGGGUUCUCGUUGGGUUCCGUUGGGUCCUCAUUGGGUUCCGUUUGGUUCCUCCUGGUGGCCACGGUGACCUCGUUGUUGUCCCUGCCCUCACUGACCGCUCUGGUGGCCACAACGGCCUCGUUGACUGUGGCGGCCUCUGUGACCUCAUUGGUGGCCAAGGUCCUCUUGGUGGCCAUGGUGGCCCCACUGGUGGCCAAGGUCUGUUGGUGGCCGCGGUGGCCUCGUUGGUGGCCACGGUCGACGUUGGUGGCCCCCCAGGUGAGGUCGGUGGCCGCGGUGGCCUCGUUGGUGGCCGCGGUGACGUUGGUGGCCCCCCAGGUGAGGUCGGUGGCCGCGGUGGCCUCNNNNNNNNNNNNNNNNNNNNNNNNNNNNNNNNNNNNNNNNNNNNNAGCCGUGCCACGUCGCCGCGCAGGAAAUUCAUCAGCACCGUCUCGGCCACGUCGUCGGCGUUGUGGCCUAGGUAGAGGAGUGACCACGAGUGACCACGAGUGACCACGAGUGACCACGAGUGACCAGUGGUGACCACCAGUGACUACAAGUUACCAGCAGUGACCAUAAGUGACCACGAGUGACCAUGAGUGACCAGCAGUGAACAGAUGUGGCCAACAGUGACCACGAGGGACCAGCAGUGGCCAUCAGCGACCACAAGUGACCAGGAGUGACCACUGGUGACCAGCAAUGGCCACAAGUGACCAGGAGUGACCACUGGUGACCAGCAGUAACCACGAGUGACCAGGAGUGACCACUGGUGACCAGCAAUGGCCAACAGCGACCACGAGUGACCAGUGGUGACCAGCAGUGACCACAAGUGACCACAAGUGACCAGCAGUGACCAGGAGUGACCACAAGUGACCAGGAAUGACAACUGAUGACCAGCAAUGGCCACAAGUGACCAGCAGUGACCACGAAUGACCAGGAGUGACCACUGGUGACCAGCAAUGGCCAACAGCGACCACGAGUGACCAGAGGUGACCAGCAGUGACCACAAGUGGACACAAGUGACCAUUGGUGACCAGCACUGACCAAGGGUGACCACUGGUGACCAGCAGUGACCACCAGUGACACACAGUGACCACUGGUGACCACCAAUGACCAUGAGUGACCACUGGUGACCACCAAUGACCAUGAGUGACACACGGUGACCACCAAUGACCACCAGUGACCAUGAGUGACCACGAGUGACCAGCAGUGACCACGAGUGACCACUGGUGACCACCAACGACCAUGAGUGACCAUGAGUGACCACUGGUGACCAGCAGUGGCCACGGGUGACACACAGUGACCACCAAUGACCAUGAGUGACCACUGGUGACCAGCAGUGACCACAAGUGACCACUGGUGACCACCAAUGACCAUGAGUGACCACGAGUGACCACGAGUGACCACCAAUGACCACGAGUGACCACGAGUGACCACUGGUGACCAGCAGUGACAAUGAGUGACCACAAGUGACCAAUGACCACUGGUGACCAGCAGUGACCAGCAGUGACCG
rnacentral:lncRNA from 1 species